UUGCCAAAGCCCUGUUGCCUGUGGAAAAGAAUAUUACAAGUGGACUUUCAGGUGGGAAACUCAAUAAUUGUAACACCAAACUCUGACAGAAUUAUUCAAUUCAUCAGGACCUGGAUAUUCGCAUUGUGUAUUUCCACAAUUUUACUUCUGCACUAUUCUUAGUCUUUCAGAGGGAUCGAAAGGUUGAGUUACAGAUCUAUACAAUGCCUCUCCUU